CCUACGGGAGGCAGCAGUGGGGGAUAUUGCACAAUGGGGGGAACCCUGAUGCAGCGACGCCGCGUGGGUGAAGAAGCGCCUCGGCGCGUAAAGCCCUGUCAGCAGGGAAGAAAAGGACGGUACCUGAAGAAGAAGCCCCGGCUAACGACGUGCCAGCAGCCGCGGUAAUACGUAGGGGGCAAGCGUUAUCCGGAUUUACUGGGUGUAAAGGGGGCGCAGGCGGGGAUGCAAGCCAGGAGUGAAAGCCGGGGGCCCAACCCCGGGACUGCCGUUGGAACUGGGUGGCUGGAGUGCAGGAGGGGCAGGCGGAAUGCGUGGUGUAGCGGUGAAAUGCGUAGAUAUCAGGAGGAACACCGGUGGCGAAGGCGGCCUGCUGGACUGCAACUGACGUUGAGGCCCGAAAGCGUGGGGAGCAAACAGGAUUAGAUACCCUAGUAGUC
rnacentral:rRNA from 1 species